ACUCGUUGCGUUGAAAUGACUUAGAGAAGCGCCAGCCUGGACCUUACGGGAGGGCCACCUGUACGCGCGGAGAAGGAUCGGUGAUAUAUAAGACGUCUGCACUUCCCUCUGAACACGGCAAACAUUUCUGAAAGCGCGUGAAAGGCACCUCGCUUAGGCAUCUGUAGUGGUGGUGGAUAUAUAGAAAGGAGACACUAUGAACGAGCAAGAGAACACGAAACUCGUGCAACAAGUCUACGA
rnacentral:misc_RNA from 1 species